CCCUUAGAUGUUCUGGGCUGCACGCGUGCUACACUGAUUAUUUCAACAAGUGUUUUAACUGGAGAGUUCGCGUAAUCCUGAAAUGUUAUCGUGAUGGGAGUAGAGUAUUGUAUUUGUUAAUCUUUAACGAGGAAUUCCUAGCAAGUGUAGGUUUAUAAGUUGUUCUGAUUACGUCCCUGCCCUUUGUACACACCGCCCGUCGCUCCUACCGUUUGAUUGAUCCGGUGAAUUACAUAGAAUUUUGCGUUUUACAUGACGGAAGACGAAGUGUUUUAAACCUUAUCAUUUAGAGGAAGGAGAAGUCGUAACA
rnacentral:rRNA from 1 species